rnacentral:rRNA from 1 species
GCAAGUCGAACGCUUUCCUUCGGGAAGGAGUGGCAGACGGGUGAGUAACACGUGGGAAUCUACCUAGUUCUACGGGAUAGCCAUUGGAAACGAUGAUUAAUACCGUAUACGCCCUAUGGGGGAAAGAUUUAUCGGAAUUAGAUGAGCCCGCGUUAGAUUAGUUUGUUGGUGGGGUAAUGGCCUACCAAGACUACGAUCUAUAGCUGGUUUGAGAGGAUGAUC